CAGCAGUGCUAACCAUAGAGCCACCAUACCUUUGAGUUACCAAAACAACAUUUCCCACCUGCACCAGCUACGUCACCCACUUCUAGUUCUCAGUACUUUUCUCUCAUUCCAGGUGAAGACAGCCCAGAAUAGGGCAGAAAGAUCUUGAUGAGUAGUGGGGAAUGCCCGACAUCAGACUCCUUACUCCUAAUAGAAGAAAACUCUGCAGGGUAGGAAUGCUGAUACAUCCAUAUCCCUCUAACCCACUGCCUUGACUGAAUGUUUUGACUCUUUUACUAAAGUACAAUUCCAAAGAUGGUGGAAUCUGUCCUGAUCUGAUGUCCAUACAAAGUGAGCAAAGGUCACUGCAAAGGAACUUGCUUCGUACAUAAAUGAGAAGAUUCCACCCAGUUGAUACCCUGAAGAAGCCCUGUCUCAAGGUGCAAAGCAAAUACUGGAUCAUCGUUACCUUUCCACUUUUAUUAAAACUGCUAUAUCACUCCUGAGUCCUCUAUUUGCCAAUGAAUGCAUAUCUGAUUCUAAUUUUUUUUCACCGUUUUUUAUUGUGAAAUUUAGGAAAACAAAGCAUACGGUAAAGUGAAGUGAAUGGGUUGAUGAGCUGCUGAAGAUGGAAUGUCCAAAAUUGAAUGCAGUACAAAGAUUCCAACAUGUCAUCGUCCCUUACUUACCUGUAAAAUGUCAGAGUAAGUUACAUCCACAAAUAUUGAAAAGCCAUUGAGAUAUUCCUCCCAGUAGUUAAACAGAAUUGGUAAUAGCAGCUGCACUGGAAGCUUUCAGUGAGUCAUCAAUAAUUACAUCCAGAUUCUAUUCCGACUCUCAGUUUGCUAAGAGAUGUCCUUUCAUAUAACCACAUGUUGGCAAUUUCAUGUUCAUGGUAUACCCAGAAUUGAAGUCAAAUUCUGUUAGCUGUUUCUGCCAACUGCAAAUAAUUGGCCCAAAUAACAAAGGGGUCACUACAGGUCUCAUGGUCUUAAAAGCCCUUCUUGAUACAUUUAAUUUAGCUGUCAGCUGCGGCUUAGUCUGUUGCACUCUUGUCUCUAAGUUAAACGAUUGCUGGUUUGAAACUUGCACACAAAAUCCAGGUUGACAUUUGAGUACAGAACUGAGGAAGUGUUGAAGGAGCUGUCUAUUGAAAUUACACUGAGGCUGUAUCUACUCUCUCAGGUAAAUGUAAAUGAUCUCUUGGUAUUAUUCAAAGGAGAGCAGGGGAGUGAAUUUGGCCAAUAUUUAUUCUCAACAUUGCUAAAAUGACAAAUCAUUUUGUUACUACUUAUGAGUGUUGAUGUGUGCAAAUUUCCCUCCAAAAUUCAGCAGUGGCUAUAUUUACUUCUUUAUCACAAAGCUACAAAGCCCUUAAUGAUACCGUGAGGUUUUAAAACGUAUUACUUAAAUGUCAGCUUAUUUUUUUCAUUUAUGGAUACAGACAUCUGAACUCCUCAGAAAUUGGCUGAUCCACUUGCAUGGAUAACUGAGAAGGGAAAUGCUGUUGUUUCCUACAUAAUGUUCAGGGAUAUUUCAAGGAAUUUGGAACUACAAUUUCAUAGACAAUAAAUCUGAAGCCAGUAGAGGCACUGGGCUAGCUAAGGGAGAUUGUGACAGGAGAUAGCCACCAAAGAUACAAAGGUAUAAUUAAUAUCUUAAAUAAAAGCAAAAUACUGUUGAUGCUGGGAAUCUGAAAUAAAACAGAAUGUGCUGGAGAAACUC